GGGGCAGUAGCUCAGUUGGUUAGAGCAGCGGACUCAUAAUCCGUCGGUCCCUGGUUCGAGUCCAGGCUGCCCCA
rnacentral:tRNA from 1 species